CUGUGAUGUGAAAAAUCGUGAUUUUAGUUUGGUUGAAUUUUAAAAUCAUGAUUUAUAUAUUAAUUAUUCAUAGCUUGUGAUGUGAACCAUGUAUUUUUGUACGAAUCUGGUUAAUCUGUAAAAAUGCAAAAUAAAAACAGAGCAAAGCAGUGCAAUGAACACGGAGACUGAGGAGGAUAAUGUGGUAGCCCCACAAAGAGAUACCUACCAUCGCAGCCCUGGUGAGGCAGUAUACCGAACACUAUGAGCCCACAAAUAAUGAACGAGACAGAUAUACAGGAAAGAUCAUUGGUUAAAUUUUGAAGAAAUGAAGUUUUUAUGUAGCAGACCCUAUUGCACACACCUCGUUCAAUUGCCAGCAGAACGAGUCGUCGGUUUCGCAGAAGAAUAGAGGAUCGUAUAUGAGUGUUAUGGAAUAUGGGCAAUUUUUUCAACUACAGCCUAAUCAACGCUUACCCAACGAUAAACCCGACAACCUCAAGCACAAGUUCUGCAAUAAGCUCGAGCGGACUUAUGGCGAGUGCUCAAAGGCACCAAACGCACAGAUCGGGAAAAAGAAUUUCUUUCGUUCAAUCAUUGGUGAACACUGUCUUCAUUCGUCGAUCAAUGAUAUGUGUGAGGCCCCCUUAGAGAAAUGUCCAACUGAAGCACCUUCUUUUUACGUUUGAAUAUAUGGGAGCACACCUGGAAGCACCCAAAUUAUUCCCGGACGACCGGAUACUACUAACUUUCUGGAUUUUACUAGUACAUGCAUCAACGCGUUUAAGAAAAGAGUAAAAGUAGUACGGAUUUGGAAGCAGCAGUUGAUAUGAUCGAUCAUCAAAUCCUGCUAAGCAAGCUUUCACGAUUAGGAGCAUCCGAGCAUGGUUGAACUCGUACUUGACUGAAAGAACCCUUCGGGUGCAACACGCCUCAUGUGUCUUUUCAGCUUUCAUUAGUACUUUCGGGGUACUACAAGGAAGCAACCUGGGCUCACUUCUGUUCACGCUAUUCUUCAACGAUGUGGCAGCUCUAUUAGGAGUUAGAUGCAAUCCAAAUUCUCCACAUGUGAAGGGAGCGUGCCGUUAUAAGCCAUGGCUUUUGACCCGAUCUACCUGAUACCUGAGGAGUUAGAUGCAAGCUCAUUCAUGCAGAUGGCUUUAAAUUGUAUGUUAUAGUUUACUCUAUCGAGGAUUAUCAGCGUCUUCUGGCAUCACUGAAUACUUCCGUUGACCUGGUGCUCCAAAGUGUGCGGCGGUGAUGACGUUCCACCGCUUUAUAAACCCAACUCUAUACAAUUACUCUAUUGAAAAUGUUACGGAGAUCGUGUGACUGAUCUGGGUAUUCUACUUGACCCAAAACUGGGCUUCAAUCUCCACUACUCCUCGACAGUUUCUAAAGCAAACCGACAGCUGGGAUUUAUCUUCAAGAUAGCUCGCGAUUCGAACGAUUUGCAACGGCUCACUAGUGAGACACAUCCUAGAAUCUGGACUCCCCAUGAUCUUAUUUGGCAACAUCGCAUCGAGUGUCUCUAAAAACGAUUUCUUAAAAUAGCUUUGCAUAACCUGCUGUGAACCAUUAAAUUUGCCACCCUUUCCACAGCGAUGCAUGCUGAACACAUCGUACAGAUGAAAACUAAAUCGGCACGUAUUCGUAGCGAAGCUUCUAAGCUGUAAAGUGAACGUUGCGGCAGUCAUCCAUGUUACAGUCUAGCUUUCAUUCGAAUUUUUUUUGCGGUGGAGUCUGUGUUCGAGCUUGAGGAGUCGUCAGAAAUCGAUUAAGGAGAGUUUGGAUGAUUUAGAAUGUGUUUUUAUGUCAUGUUUUAUGUAUACCCAGUCUAAAUUUUAUUUAUUGAGACAAACACAGUGUCGAAUAAAUUUGAUACAAUAUACAUACAAAAAAGAAAAUAGAAACACCUGUUCUCUACACAU